rnacentral:rRNA from 1 species
UACAGAGGUGGCAAGCGUUGUUCGGAAUUACUGGGCGUAAAGGGCGCGUAGGCGGCCUGUUAAGUCGAACGUGAAAUCCCCAGGCUCAACCUGGGAACUGCGUCCGAUACUGGAUGGCUUGAAUCCGGGAGAGGGAUGCAGAAUUCCAGGUGUAGCGGUGAAAUGCGUAGAUAUCUGGAGGAAUACCGGUGGCGAAGGCGGCAUCCUGGACCGGCAUUGACGCUGAGGAGCGAAAGCCAGGGGAGCAAACGGG